CAUACGCACGUUUGAAGCGCAUGUUUCUUUCUAGUAACUGUGACGCUGGGCGCCUCCCGAAAGCCAUUAGCUAAUUGUGGGUGAUGAUAACGCUGUCGCCAGCCGGCGCCUAAGUUCUUAUCAGCUCAUGAAUGUUCCUUCAGGCUGCUUACUAUCGCACCUAUCGCAGAGCAGUGCGGCUGGAAAGCGAAAACAUCGUACAGACCUCCUAAAAGGUGCCGGAUAACUCUGCUUGUUGUCCCCCAAGGCAGGCGCGCGGUGCUGCAUCGUAAAUCUCUGGGUCAGCUCAGCUUGCGCGUGUACACUUGCAUCGCAGUGCAUGUCCAGAAAUUUCCUGCCGGUGGCGUUCCUGCAACUUCGCAAUUUCCUGUUCGCGAGCCUCUUUGUCUCGAACCUUGUGCUGCUCCAAGUCUGUCCGCAUGCGCUCCAGCACUGCACUGACUUCCUUCAACUUUUCUGCUUCACACUGUUUUUGGACCUGCGUGCCAGCAAAUGCAAGCCAUGUGAAGACAGGGAGGUACCUGUACAUACUCCAAUGCAUUCGAACAUGGCUGAAAUCUAAAGCAAUGUAAAACAACGGCAUGGGAGAUGAGAAGAAUAACUCGAAGAAAAAUAAGACGUGCGUCUGCAUUACAUAGUCUCGUGUUUU